AAAAUGAGUCUCUCUGGGGAGACAGAGGAGGGGACCACUGCCUCUAAAAUGAGUCUCUCUGGGGAGAGAGAGGAGGGGACCACUGCCUCUAAAAUGAGUCUCUCUGGGGAGAGAGAGGAGGGGACCACUGCCUCUAAAAUGAGUCUCUCUGGGGAGAGAGAGGGGGGGACCACUGCCUCUAAAAUGACUCAAGACACCAGUUCAAAGAGUGUCCAGAAGCCCAGAGCAGAGUCACCUACAACCAGCCUGCUAUCAAUGAAGAGUGAUCAGCCACCUGCUUUCAGCCAGGAACCAUUACCAGAUGACAAUAAUGAAGUGGAGAGUUUGGACAGUGAGGAUGCAUUAAAGAUCACACACAACCUUCUGGACAGAAGAAGUCAAACUCUGCUGACAGUCCAACAAGACAUCAAGGCUAAACUGAAACACAAGUAUCAACACAUAUCUGAAGGAAUUGGACACCAUGGAAACCAAAGUCUGUUCAAAGACAUCUACACAGAGCUCUACAUCACAGAGGGUGGAAGUGGAGGGCUCAAUAAUGAACAUGAGGUUAGACAGAUAGAGAUGGCAUCCAAGAAACGAACCACACAAGAGACACCAAUCAAAUGCAACGACAUCUUCAAGCCUUUACCUGGACAAGACAAACCAAUCAGAACUGUGCUGACAAAAGGAAUCGCUGGUGUUGGAAAAACAGUCUCUGUGCAGAAGGUCAUCCUUGACUGGGCAGAGGGAAAAGCAAAUCAGGACGUUCAUUUCAUGUUUCCUCUUCCUUUCCGUGAUCUGAACCUGAAAAAGGACCAAUACAGUCUGAUGCAACUUCUUUCCCACUACUUCUCAGAGCUGAAAGAGAUUGACAGCAUUGAAGAUGGUGAAACCAAAACUGUUUUCAUUUUUGAUGGUCUGGAUGAGUGUCGACUUCCUCUAGACUUCAAAAACAAUGAGAAAUGCUGUGAUGUCACAAAGCCAACCUCAGUGGACGUGCUGCUGACAAACCUCAUCAAGGGGAAUCUGCUUCCCUCUGCUCUCCUCUGGAUAACCACACGACCUGCAGCAGCCAAUCAGAUCCCUCCUGAGUGUGUUGACCAAGUGACAGAGGUACGAGGGUUCAAUGAUCCACAGAAGGAGGAGUACUUCAGGAAGAAAAUCACAGAUCAGAAUCUGGCCAGUGAAAUCAUCAAACACAUGACGACAUCAAGGAGCCUCCACAUCAUGUGCCACAUGCCAGUGUUCUGUUGGAUAUCAGCCACUGUCCUUGAGAUGAUGCUGAAAGAGGCAGAGAAGGAUGAAGUCCCCAAAACUCUGACCCAGAUGUACUCACACUUCAUGAUCCAAAUCAUUGUGAAGAACAGGAAGUACAACAAAGCCACAGAGACAAACCCAAAGGAACUGUCUCAGUCAGACAAAGAGAUGAUCCUGAAACUGGCUAAACUUGCUUUCCAACAGCUGCAGAAGGGCAACCUGAUCUUCUAUGAGGAGGACCUGAGAGAAUGUGGCCUUGAUGUCACAGAGGCGUCAGAGUACUCAGCAUUGUGUACAGAGAUCUUUAAAGAAGAAUCUGGGCUGUACCAAGACAAGGUCUACAGCUUUGUGCAUCUGAGCAUUCAGGAGUUUCUAGCAGCAGUGCAUGCUUUAGAAUCUUGUCUGGACAAGAAGGAAAAUGUUUUCUCCCCCAAAGCAGUCACUAAGGGUCAAGAUUAUUAUGAAAACAGCCGAUUCAAAUUCUGGUCAUGCAAGUUGAAGCCUGACAAGUUGACGUCAAUCGAUGAUAAUAAUUCCGAUGAUGAUGAUUCCGAUGAAGACAAAAAGGAUGACAAUGAUGAAGAGGAGUCAAUCCAGUUGUCUGACUUACACAGGAGAGCAGUGGACCAGGCCUUGAAGAGUGAGAAUGGACACCUGGACCUGUUCCUCCGCUUCCUUCUGGGUCUCUCACUGGAGUCCAAUCAGAAUCUGUUACGAGGCCUUCUGACACAGACAGGAAGUACAACACAGACCAAUGAGGAAGCAGUUAAGAGAACAGUCAGGUACCUUUCAGACAACAUCAAGGAGGAAUCCUCACCAGAAAGGAUCAUCAACUUGUUCCACUGUUUGAAUGAACUUGGUGCCAACUCUCUUGUUGAAGACAUGCAGACCUCACUGCAUUCAGGAACUCUUUCAGAAACAAGACUAAAACCUGACCAAUGUUCAGCCCUGGCCUACCUGUUACUGAUGUCAGAGGAGGUGCUGGAGGAGUUUGACCUGAAGACAUACAACACAUCAGAGAAAGGUUAUCAGAGGUUGCUGCCGGUAGUGAAAACCUGCAAGAGAGCACUACUAGAUGGCUGUAAACUCACAUAUGAAUCCUGUGAGACUCUGGCCUCAGCUCUGCAGACACCAAACUCCCCCCUGAGAGAACUGGACCUCAGCUACAAUGACCUGGGAGACAGAGGAGUGGAGCUGCUCUGUGAUGGACUAACCAGUCCACUCUGCAACAUACAGACACUAGUUCUUGGUCACUGUGGUCUGACAGAGGGAUGCUGUUCAGAUCUGGCCUCAGUCCUGAGUUCACCCAACUCACAACUGAAACAACUGGAGCUGAGAGACAAUGACCUGCAGGACUCUGGAGUUACACUGCUGUCUGCUGGACUGAAGGAUCCAGACUGUAAACUACACACACUGGGGCUGUCUGGCUGUCUGGUCACAGAGGAGGGCUGUACUGCUCUGUCUUCAGCUCUGAGAUCAAACCCCUCCCACCUGAAAGAGCUGGACCUGAGCUACAAUCACCCAGGAGACUCUGCAGGGGGACUGCUUUCAGCUGCUCUGGUGGAUCCCACAUAUAAACUGAUGAAGCUGAAUGUGGAUCAUGGUGGAGAGGGCAGGCUGAAAUCAGGGCCGAGGAAAUAUGCCUGUCAUCUCACCCUGGACCCAAAUACAGUAAACCCACACCUGAGACUGUCUGAGGGGAACAGGAAGGUGACAUGUGUGGUGGAGAAGCAGCAUUAUGAAGACCAUCCAGACAGAUUUGACUAUCUUUACCAAGUUCUCUGCAGAGAAGGCUUAUCUGGAGGUCGUUAUUACUGGGAGGUGGAGAGGGAUGGUGACAUGGCUGACAUUGGUGUGGUGUACAAAGGAAUGAAGAGGAAGGGACAGGAGGGUGACAGUUGGAUUGGACUCAAUAGGAAGUCCUGGUGUUUAUACUGCUAUGAUAGUGCUUAUGAAUUUAUCCAUGCUGGAGUCAGCAGAUCCAUCUCUGGUCGUUAUUCUCACAGAGUUGGAGUGUAUCUGGACUGGCCGGCUGGUACUUUGUCCUUCUAUAGUGUGUCCUCCUCUGGUACACUGACACACCUUCACACAGAACACAUCACAUUCACUGAACCCCUCUAUCCUGGAUUUGGGGUUUACUCCUCCUCCUCAGUGACCCUGUGUCAGAUACAUGACCAUCACAUUCAGAGAGACCAUGGUGGAGAGAGUUGGACCAAGCCUGGACCUGAGAACACCAGAGACCAUCGUGGAGAGAGUUGGACCAAGCCUGGACCUGAGAACACCAGAGACCAUGGUGGAGAGAGUUGGACCAAGCCUGGUCCUGAGAACACCAGAGACAUUGGUGGAGAGUUUUGGACCAAGCCUGGACCUGAGGACACCAGAGACAUUGGUGGAGAGUUUUGGAUCAAGCCUGGACCUGAGAACACCAGAGACAUUGGUGGAGAGUUUUGGACCAAGCCUGGACCUGAGGACACCAGAGACCAUCGUGGAGAGUGUUGUAUCAAGCCUGGACCUGAGACUCCCAGAGACCAUGGUGGAGAGAGUUGGACCAAGCCUGGACCUGAGACUCCCAGAGACCAUGGUGGAGAGAGUUGUAUCAAGCCUGGACCUGAGACUCCCAGAGACCAUGGUGGAGAGAGUUGUAUCAAGCCUGGACCUGAGACUCCCAGAGACCAUGGUGGAGAGAGUUGUAUCAAGCCUGGACCUGAGACUCCCAGAGACCAUGGUGGAGAGAGUUGGACCAAGCCUGGACCUGAGACUCCCAGAGACCAUGGUGGAGAGAGUUGGACCAAGCCUGGACCUGAGGACACCAGAGACCAUGGUGGAGAGGGUUGGACCAAGCCUGGACCUGAGGACACCAGAGACCAUGGUGGAGAGAGUUGGAUCAAGUCUGGACCUGAGAAAUGGAUUCCCCAGAGCUGUAAGACUUGUGACCAUGUUGAGGAAACAGGCCCCAUAUGCAUUACUGACAUGCUUGUCCUUGUUCAGGACUCCACACACUGGCUUCAGAUUGAACCCUUGACUUCCACUGUCCAGGGAGUGACAAUGUUCAGACACAGGACACCCAAAGGGAGUUAUGAGUGCACAGUGUCUGGGCUCCGCUGGCUGUGUGAGAGAGAUGUCAUUCUGAAGUAUCACUUCAGGAACUGGGGACCCUACAGUCAACUUCUGAAAGACAUGCAGUACACACAAGGUGGUCCAUUGCUGGACAUCACUAUGGAGUUCGGUGAACUGGAGGAAGUUCAUCUGCCACACUUUGUCUGUUUAGGGACCAACCCUUCCCUGAGGAAUGAGAUGAAGAUUCUUCAUGUAGAGGAACAUGGAGUGUCUUUAGAGGAAGUGCAUGAGGUCACCAGAUUCCAUGUUAAGAUUCUCCAUCCCAAGUUCUCCCCUAUCUCUGUUAUACUGAGAUUACUGUCUUGGAACGUAGAUGUCCACUGUGACGUGGUCCUCUACAUGGCAGUAAAAAGGUCAACAAUCAUUUCAAGGCUGUACCUGCUCCUCAGAAACUCCAGUCAGAAAGAGGCUGUUCAGGAACGGGAGAAAAAUCAGGUGUCCAAAGGAUUUUCAGAAUUCGUCCUGUCAAGUCCAAACGGGUCCUUAAAGCUGAACAGUUGGUUUGCGUUCAAGAAUCCCCGCUCCACUUCCAUCAAUCCAGAGAAGAUUCAGCUGUUACCUGCAGACACCACCCCAAGCUGUUGUCAGAUGAUAAUGGGAAACACAGGGGUGGACAUUGAGAUGGAGUUAAUCGGGGAGGAUGAGAGGACAGUAUGGAAAUCAGUGUUAUCAAAAGAUGUGUACAGCAACGACUCUCAUCCAACAUGUAAGUUUGUUUUUGUGGACGAGUUUUAUAAAAUGGGUUAUAGAGCUAACGUCUCUUCAAGUUGGGAUGAAGGACACUGAUGAAGGUCUUCAUGAGUCGUGUUCAGUGGGGUGAUGAAGGUCUUCAUGAGUCAUGUUCAGUGGGGUGAUGAAGGUCUUCAUGAGUCGUGUUCAGUGGGGUGAUGAAGGUCUUCAUGAGUCGUGUUCAGUGGGGUGAUGAAGGUCUUCAUGAGUCGUGUUCAGUGGGGUGAUGAAGGUCUUCAUGAGUCGUGUUCAGUGGGGUGAUGAAGGUCUUCAUGAGUCGUGUUUAGUGGGGUGAUGAAGGUCUUCAUGAGUCGUGUUCAGUGGGGUGAUGAAGGUCUUCAUGAGUCGUGUUCAGUGGGGUGAUGAAGGUCUUCAUGAGUCGUGUUCAGUGGGGUGAUGAAGGUCUUCAUGAGUCGUGUUCAGUGGGGUGAUGAAGGUCUUCAUGAGUCGUGUUCAGUGGGGUGAUGAAGGUCUUCAUGAGUCGUGUUCAUUGGGGUGAUGAAGGUCUUCAUGAGUCGUGUUCAUUGGGGUGAUGAAGGUCUUCAUGAGUCGUGUUCAGUGGGGUGAUGAAGGUCUUCAUGAGUCGUGUUCAGUGGGGUGAUGAAGGUCUUCAUGAGUCGUGUUCAUUGGGGUGAUGAAGGUCUUCAUGAGUCGUGUUCAGUGGGGUGAUGAAGGUCUUCAUGAGUCGUGUUCAUUGGGGUGAUGAAGGUGUAAUGAUAUAAAUACUUACGAAGGCACUGUAUAUGAGGCCUUGUCUUUGUAGAAAGUUGAAUCUGUGCUUGAAAUGUGAUACUUGACUGAGGGACCUUCCAGAUGUUGUAUGUAUGGGGGACAGGUCCAAUUUGACAGAGUAUUUUCAGUAGACUGUUGACAAAACAUUACAAUUAAAUCCAUCUUAAUCCCACUAUGUAACACAAUAGAGAAAUCCAAGGGGUAUGAACACUUUUGCAAGGCUCUGUAUGUUAUGUUGAAUAGACAAUCGUGUCAGCCAGGGUAGGUGUCAAUUCCAAAUAAAUUCAUUUUUAUUUUUUGACUGACUUCAAUUGGAAUUGCCUACAACCCUGGAGUCGGCUCUAUUCAAGAAAUGCCUAUCAGAGGAAUGGUAACUGGAGAGACUGCAAGAUGUAGAAACAUCUGCUGUUAACCCUAAAACCAUAUUCAUUUAUUUCACCCCCCUUCAGCAUUAACACUCUCUGGGAUUCCUGCUGAGGAGUUUCUGAAGAAACACAGGGCUAUACUCAUUCAGGGAGUCAAAAACACAAUGCCAAUAGCAGAUAAUCUGUUGUCAAAGAGCAUGAUUGGUGAUGAAGAGUACUCCAGAAUAAAAGCUGAAACAACUGAACAGGAGCGAAUGAGAGAACUACUGAACGCAGUCCUCCCUAAAGGACCAGAAGUGAUGGGAGCUUGUCUCAAAGCUCUCAGUGAACAUGAACACCAUCUUGUUAAGUACUUGAGAGAAUCUAGGUAAGACCGGUUUCUUUUCUCCCUCCCUUGAAUAUGUGGAAUGAUUAAAUAUAGGUCAAAUAAAAACAUAGCUACCCAGAUCAAAGAGUCUUUUUCAGAAUGGAACCAUGUUUUGUGUUGCUGCCUGUAAUAAAUGUGUCUUAUCAUAGGGCCAUUAUCUCAUCAUUAUCUCAGGUGUAUCAUAGGACCAUCAUCACAUCAUUAUCUCAGGUGUAUCAUAGGACCAUCAUCACAUCAUUAUCUCAGGUGUAUCAUAGGACCAUCAUCACAUCAUUAUCUCAGGUGUAUCACAGGACCAUCAUCACAUCAUUAUCUCAGGUGUAUCAUAGGACCAUCAUCACAUCAUUAUCUCAGGUGUAUCAUAGGACCAUCAUCACAUCAUUAUCUCAGGUGUAUCAUAGGACCAUCAUCACAUCAUUAUCUCAGGUGUAUCAUAGGACCAUCAUCACAUCAUUAUCUCAGGUAUCUCACACCUCCUUCUUCUCCAUACUUUCUGAUCUCUCUCUUCCCUUCUCCUCCAUCCUCUGUCUUGUAGCACCUAAUCUGAAGAUGCUGAGGCCUGUCUCCCCCCUGAAAUGGACAAAAAUGAAUGGCAACAUAUUGGCACUGUACGAAACAUAUGGACGGUGUCCAAUACCACUCAAAUAUUGGCCAUUUCAUUCAAAGCUUAUGGCAAAUGUCAUAGGGCAAAUGCCAAGUGUCAUAACAGCAAAAUCCAAAAGAUGGCGAGCUCGCUCCACCGUAGAUUUUCAUAUUGCAAAUGCACAUCAAGUCAAGACCCAAGAGUCAAAUUUUGAUGUAUCACCCCCCUAAAAAAGAGCUUUCUGGACUGUUUUGUCAAUUAUACAUGUAUAAGAACUGUAUGAACAUACUUUUGUCAUAUUUUAUUGUCAUAAUAAAAAAUAUAAAAAAUGUUUUAUUUGUCCAUAAGGCAUAUGUUUUGUCCAUUUGCAAUAUGAUUUCAUAGGAAGUCAAAAGUCGAAGUCAAAAGUCAGUGAACCAUUGCCAAAUGCCAUAAGAAAUGUCCAAAUGCAAUAUGAAAUCAUUGAAACUGCAAAUCAGGAUGUUAUGUCCAUUUGCCAUGUACGAUCAUAAGAAGUCGGUUUCCAAACGCAAAAGUCAGUGAAUCAUGUCCAAAUGGCAUUUAUACUGCCCAAACGAUAUAUAGCACUAUGUUAAGCCUUGAAUAAACCUAGAUGGUCUAUUUGUCAUGUAUGAUGAGGGAGAAGUGGGACUCGGUUGUUUUUUAACGAUUUGUUUGAAAAACGUCCAACAUGACCAGGGGCACCCCCUAUUGGAUGGUCACGGGUGGGGGGUGCUCCCUACCCUACUAUAGACCCCUUACUCCCCCCUAAAGGCAUUACAACCCAUUUAAAAAAUAUGCUCCUGGUAACCCGUUCCAUACACCAGGUGCAUGCCUGUCCAUAUGCAAUAUGUUUCAAUGGGCGUAUACCAUCACGAAUUUGACAUGCUCAAAACUCCUGCAGAAAUGCAAAAUUGACUGGCCAGAUGAACUCUGGAUGGCCGGGCAGUGAUAGGGGUUCCUCUCCAUCGCUCAUUGUGUUGAUUUCAUCAUGUCCUAUUGGUGAUGUUUUUUCACUGUUGAAUCUUAUUGCAAAUGUACUGUUCAUUUGCAAUAUGUUUAAAUGGGCAUUUACCAUCACGAAUUUGACAUGCUCAAAAAUACUGCAGAAAUGCAAAUUUGACUGGCCCGAUGAACUUUGGAUGGCCGGGCAGGGAUGGGGGUUCCUCUCCAUCGCUCGUUGUGUUGAUUUCAGAAUGUCAAUUUGGUGAUGGUCUAUCACUGUUUAAACAUAUUGCAAAUGGACAAAAGUCAGCCAGAAUGUCACCGUCCAUCAGUCAAUUAGAUAUCAUUCUGAAACCAAACUGACACCACACCCACUUUUUCCAACUCGUUUAGAAGCCAACUAUCACAUAUUUUAGAGCAGGCCCAAAAUUCACAGCUCCUUCUGUUUAAAGCAUAAUAAAAACCUAAAACAGGUAGUUCCGUUCUAUCUGCGUGUCCAGUUCCGACAUUAUGUUUAGGCCUAGCUGAAUCCCAAGUUUUGGCUCGAUAGGUCAUUUGGAGCCCGAGCAGCGAUCUUAAUUGGUGCUGAAAAUCCACAUUUUCAGGCUGUUGCUACGGGGUCCUUGAAUGAGCUAUCGGACAGAAAUGUUGGGGUCCGUCUCUAUGGGCUGAGGUGGUUUCAAUGCACCAAGUCUUGCGACUCUGGGACUUUUCUAAAUGUCGUAAUUUUCGUAAUGGUCAAAAUGAAUUGAAGUUAUUCCAAAUGUACGAGGCUGUUUCUCAGUCUGAGAACCUUCUAGAGCCACAUAACUCACUGUGCAUUAUCAUAUUGAGCUCCUGAACAGGUUUCUAAAGUUCCAGAGCUCUAGGUCUGACGGUUCUUUGAUAGUUCGAAUGAAGGUGACUAUUGCAGGCUCUGUAUGUCUCUAAGCCCCACACUGUGUCACUAUGUCCUAGCUGUGUGUGAGCUUUUCUUGGAAAUCUGAUGGGAGAAAUGACUGAUUUACAGUUCAUGAGGGUUACCUAGUCACACAUUGGAAGUUUUGAAAUGAUCUGACCUUUUUAGCCCUUCGAAACAGCCCCUAUGACCACAAUUUAAGGCACUUCCGGUUGACACAGGAAGCUAAAAGUAAACAUGUCCUCGUUGGGGUAGGCUUUUACAAAAUCCUGAGUUUAAAGUCUUUAUGUAAAGUUUUGACUGAUCUACACAGGGUUGAAUGCAGUGAUUUUCACAAAUGCAGGUUAUGUACAUCAAAACAACUUUUGGGUGAAUUAACCCACUUCUGGUUGCUCCAGGAAGCAUAUAAUCGACACAGGUAGACCUCAUACUGGCCUGAUGGAUUGUUAUCGAAGACAGGUUCAUAAGACAUUCAUAACCCACAUAGGUUUCAGGUUGAAAUUAGGGGUAUUCGUAUGGGGAAAGAAGUCAAUGCAAACUGUUUGAUGUAAACACCUUCUUUUAACAGUUAAGGGUUAAUGCCACACGGUCAAGGUUAGGCUUGCACAGAUCGAGAGGACCUCGGGAACGUUCCUGAGGUCGAAUUGUGCUUCUAACCCUAACGGUUCUCCCACUGUCACCCAAAAGCACCUGAAAUUUAGGGGCAGGCUACAUUUUUGGCCUUCUUUUUUUCACGGUCGCUGCGCUCAGACCGAGCGAGCUAUGGUCAAGUGGGGCAUCUUGUUGAACUCGGCACAGCCUAGAGAUUAUGAUAAUGCCAUGUGUCUUCAAGCCCCGCACUGGAUCACUCUAUCCUUGCUGUGUGUGUGUGUGUGUGUGUGUGUGUG